CUCAAACUACAUUUUUUUUUUAAUAAAAUAUGAAAAAAAAACUAGAACAAAUUCAGAGACCUCCAGAAAAACAAAUCUUCAAUAGAACUUGGUUAUAUAAAAUCCUCUCACAGGAGUAUUAGCUCAAGCUGGUGCGGCGUGAGCUCAAAGAGCCAACAAUACCACCAACUCUAAGAGUCCGACUGUCGCCAUAGUGAAAACGAGACAGCGCUCUACAUGAUCUAGAGCAGCCUCUCUUUCCCAUAACUGCAAUAUUAUUACUUCAAGAGAUGGUAGGCACUCUAGCUGAAAUGCUCGGUUCUCGGCUCUCGAUGUUCGGCCUUCAUCCUCUUUCAUGAGAUUUAUUGCCCGGAUCAGAGACUUCUCAAUAAGCUGAAUCAAUUUAUUUGUCCCGGAGUAUACAGUGACGUCACAAUGUGUUGCGGCGAUACAAGUGUGAUGUUACAUAAUGAGGGCCGGUGGAGUGUCACUUUAGCUUUCAUCUAAACCGCGGUGAGGACACGGCCUGAAAUAUGAGACCUUUUCAAAGAUCCCGAAACAAAUUACUAGGAUUUCGUCUAUUCACGCUACUUCAUCCCGUUUAGGAAUGUCUAAAAUUCAGCUAAACGAGUGCGUUGCGCCGUGGAACCUGACCCCGGUAACCCAAUUACUGAGAAAACCGAUGUCUCAAGGUUUGCCACCGUUGUCAAACUUUUAAGGACUUUAUACAAGAAUAGACAAUAAGAAAAUACGGGAAGAAAUUUGUAUAUUGCAUAGAUUUUAUUGAAAAUUCCUGAUAUUUGGAACAAAGAAAUUCAUAUAAAGAAGAGAUCAAAAACAGCAACAUUUUGUCUGGGCAGAGAAUGAUAUUAAACAAUAGAAAUAUACAUACUAUUGAUGUAUCGAGAGUUGCGAAAAACUAGUUGACUAAUAGCAGAGAAGUUAAAAGGGUCAUCUGGAAGAGAUUUCUUAAGAAAUAAGCAGUACCUUUG